rnacentral:rRNA from 1 species
UACAGGGGGGGGCAAGCGUUGUUCGGAAUUACUGGGCGUAAAGGGCUCGUAGGCGGCCAACUAAGUCCGACGUGAAAUCCCCAGCUUAACCUGGGAACUGCGUCGGAUACUGGAUGGCUUGAAUUCGGGAGAGGGAUGCAGAAUUCCAGGUGUAGCGGUGAAAUGCGUAGAUAUCUGGAGGAAUACCGGUGGCGAAGGCGGCAUCCUGGACCGACAUUGACGCUGAUGAGCGAAAGCUAGGGGAGCAAACGGG